rnacentral:tRNA from 2 species
UUUAUAGUUUUUAAAAACAUCUACUUUGGAUGUAGAAGAAUCUAAAUUUUAAUAAAAAU